CCUUCAUUGCUCGACUCGCCUCGCGCGGAGGGGCAGGCGACCGGCAGCGUGCUCGCGCAGGCGCAAGCAGCCUGACGCUCGGUCUUUACUCGAUUCAUCCCCGCACAAAGGUGCAAGCGACCGCGGCGUUCCUCCCCCGGCGCACUCCCCCGGUGGCGCGCUCCCCUGGCGUCCGGCGGGAGAGAUUAGUUUAGUCUUGUCCCCAGCGCCGGUGGGAUCCAAGCCGCCUGAGCCUAGGUCACUGGACCAUCACCAUCACCAUCACCGGCAGGCCGCCAUGGAGGAGUUAGCGGGGAGCAGGAGGCUGCAGCAGGAGCACCACCACCUGCAGCACCAACCCUUCCCUGCUGCCGGUGCUGAGCCUGCAGCGGACGGGAUGACCAAGGAUGUGAAGCCACUAUGUGGGUGGUUAACUAGUGCUCCUCUUUUCUUAUUACUGUAACGGAUGAAGGGCCAUUUUAUUACUGCUGGGAAACAGAGAUAGAUUGUACAUACAAUCCAUUUUAUUACUGCUGGAAUUAGAGAUAGAUUGUACAUACAAUCCUUUUCUUAGUAAGGGUAAAAUGAUCACAGUUAACUUGGAGUUAACAGAAAUGGUAAGCAACAAAGAAGUGUCUUCUUUUAAUGGUAUAUAUUUAUAGAGGGAUUUUUUGAUGGUAUA